rnacentral:rRNA from 1 species
CCUACGGGAGGCAGCAGUGGGGAAUUUUGGACAAUGGGCGCAAGCCUGAUCCAGCAAUGCCGCGUGAGUGAAGAAGGCCUUCGGGUUGUAAAGCUCUUUUGUCAGGGAAGAAACGGUGGGAGCUAAUAUCUCCCGCUAAUGACGGUACCUGAAGAAUAAGCACCGGCUAACUACGUGCCAGCAGCCGCGGUAAUACGUAGGGUGCAAGCGUUAAUCGGAAUUACUGGGCGUAAAGCGUGCGCAGGCGGUUUUGUAAGUCUGUCGUGAAAGCCCCGGGCUCAACCUGGGAAUUGCGAUGGAGACUGCAAGGCUUGAAUCUGGCAGAGGGGGGUAGAAUUCCACGUGUAGCAGUGAAAUGCGUAGAGAUGUGGAGGAACACCGAUGGCGAAGGCAGCCCCCUGGGUCAAGAUUGACGCUCAUGCACGAAAGCGUGGGGAGCAAACAGGAUUAGAUACCCUGGUAGUCCACGCCCUAAACGAUGUCUACUAGUUGUCGGGUUUUAAUUAACUUGGUAACGCAGCUAACGCGUGAGUAGACCGCCUGGGGAGUACGGUCGCAAGAUUAAAACUUCAAAGGAAUUGACGG